CUUUUCUUAAAGUGCAUGUCAAGUGUGCCUCAGAGUCUUACCCCACCCACGUAUCAAUUUUGAAAACUGCAACAUUAGUAGGCGUUGCCUGGAGGACCGAGAGGGCGGAGCCGUGGCAGUGACGAAGAGACGGCUAACUAGACGAAGCUAGCUCCCUUCACUCUGAGCAGUCAUUAGAAGUGGAGGACGUUUCUCCCCCUCCUUACCCAGACACUCGAGAAGAAAGGGACCAAGUCUAUUUGGAGGAGACAAGCGGACAUGAGCCUUAUUGUUUUGAGCUUGUGAGUUGCCUGAAAUUACUGGAACCGACCCAACAGACCCAUCUCUGAACGUGAUCCUCUGGUGUCUGCAGCUGGUCUCCUGCUGAUGUCGUCGGGAUCAGGAACUUCCAGAAGAAUGUGCCUUUCAAUGACUCUUUCCCCCUUAUUUGUUAUAUUAAUUAAAUAAAUCUCAAUUUA